rnacentral:rRNA from 1 species
GACAGAGGGUGCGAACGUUGCUCGGAAUCAUUGGGCGUAAAGCGCGUGUAGGCGGCAUCGCACGUCGGGUGUGAAAGCCCGGGGCUCAACCCCGGCAGUGCACCCGAAACGACGAUGCUAGAGUGCUGGAGAGGCGGGUGGAAUUCCUGGUGUAGAGGUGAAAUUCGUAGAUAUCAGGAGGAACACCGGUGGCGAAGGCGACCCGCUGGCCAGCGACUGACGCUGAGACGGCGAAAGCGUGGGGAGCAAACAGGAUUAA